rnacentral:rRNA from 1 species
CCUCACAGCAGUUCUCGCCCACAGCCGUAAGCGUCAUCCUCAUCGUUGGAGCAGGUAAAGUCAAAGAACUUUGGCGGCUGUGCCCAGGGGAACGCUGUCUGGUAGGCCGUGAGCGCGGCCUCCUCCGACGUCUGCUGCUACGCCAUGGCUGCCUGGUGCCGCUUGCCUCCUCCUGCUUCCGCCGCUCCUUCUCCUCCUCGCGCGGCUAGUGCUAUCGGUGCUCCUCCUCUCCGCGCUCGUGUCGCAUGCGGUGCUUCGACCAGUCCACUUCUCCUCUAGCGUGCGGCAGCGCCGCUGCUCAAGGUAGGCCGCCUCCUCCUCCGAUGCACCGAGCCACACCAGUGGUGUGCCGCCCCUCCCGCACGAUGCCCUGCCACUGCGUAUGUCUCGGUGACUGUGGGCGGUGCCGGCGUGGGUGUAUGUGGUGCUGGUAGCGAUGGCGGCGGCAGUGGCGGGUAGAUGCAAUUGCCGGCCACAGAGAGCUGGAGCGCCUCCUCCAGACCAAGUAUGCAAGACUAGUCAUAUUAUUUUGUGAUGGUUGUAUUGGCCACAUGACAACUAGUUUGCUGUAGUGGCCAUAUAGCAAAUACUUGGAUGCUAAAAUCUAAUGGCAACAAUAUCUACCAUGUUUUUGGUGCUAAUGAUCAUGCCGAACUUGUUUCAUUUAAAUUUUGGUUCAAAUUUUAACAAUUUUAGAAAAUAUGAAAAAUUCCAGUGAAUUUCACAUGUCUACAGUACCAUUCUGGGAAAGUUUUACCCCAUUUGGAUCAAUAGGUUGAAGAUAAUGAAAGUUUUGGUUAGCCCGUACAUUUUUUUGGUUUAAUUUUUGACAUUUUUCAGAAAAAUGAGAAACAAUUCCAGUAAAUACUACAUGUAUUCAAUACUAAUUUGAGAAAGUUUCGGCUCAAUUGGACCACAAGUUUGGGAGAUAAUGGCGAUCUAAUAUGUUGGCUGAUGUGACCGGUUUUUAUUGCCACAUGUGCACUUACAAAUGGGACACAUCUGUAUAAAAUUAUGUCAAUGUAUCCAAACACUAGAUUAGAUCUAGUUGCAAUGUAUUACACCAAUAUGUGGUGUUUUCUGCAACAAACCCAUAUAAUAGGUGUUCUGUGCAACACUAGCCCCAAUAAGUGAUGGAUUAUGCAAUUCCCCAAUAUGUGGAGUCCAGGGGCAGAACGGUCACUCGCACGGGCACCCCCCCUACAAAGCUGGUCUCCUUUUAAAGUCUGCGGUGGCAGAGCACCCUACCCCUGUGACAGAGGAGAGAAAACAGCGGCACCCGGCCCCGCCCCGACACAGCGCGACCGAAGCCGCCAGAAUACAAACCACCGCCCCGCCUGCCUCCUCUCCCCUCGGCGCCCGCGGCAGAGAGCCGCCGCCUCCGUCGUCGUCGUCGUCUCCUCCUACCCCCGAAAAGGCUGAGAUCGCCGAUUCGCGGGCCAUUUGAUUUGGCGCGCGGUUUCUAGCCGUGCUUCCCAUGGCCGGGUCCAUCGCGGCCUCGGCCUUCUUCCCGGGGUCGCCGGCGACGCCGCCGCCCAAGAGCGCCCUGGGCGAGCGUCCGGACAGCCUGGACGUCCGCGGCAUGGCCGCGAAGCAGGCCUCGUCGUCCUCCGCCGUGAGGGCCAGCAGGACGCGCGCCCACGCGGCCGUCCCCAAGGUGAACGGCGGCGGCGGCAAGUCCGCGCUGGCGGACGCGGAGCACGACACCAUGUCCUCGGCUGCGCAGCCGAGGACGUUCUACAACCAGCUGCCCGACUGGAGCAUGCUCCUUGCGGCCAUCACCACCAUCUUCCUGGCCGCCGAGAAGCAGUGGACGCUGCUCGACUGGAAGCCCAAGCGGCCCGACAUGCUCGUCGACACGCUUGGUUUCGGCACGAUUGUACACGACGGCGUCAUGUUCAGGCAGAACUUCUCCAUUAGGUCCUACGAGAUUGGGGCUGACAGGACGGCGUCCAUCGAGACGCUCAUGAACCAUCUGCAGGAAACUGCACUCAAUCAUGUGAAGGUCGUUGGGCUGCUAGGAGAUGGUUUUGGUUCGACACCGGAGAUGAGUAAACGGAACUUGUUCUGGGUUGUCAGCCAAAUGCAGGCCAUCAUCGAGCGUUAUCCAUGCUGGGGCGACACUGUUGAGGUGAACACUUGGGUUGGCGCUCAUGGUAAAAACGGAAUGCGUCGAGACUGGCAUAUACGCGAUUCUGUGACGGGCCAUACAGUACUGAAGGCUACAAGUAAAUGGGUUAUGAUGAACAAGCUUACUAGAAAGCUUGCAAGAAUUCCAGAUGAAGUACGGACUGAAAUAGUGCCGUUCUUUUCUGAGUAUGCUGCUAUUGAAGACCAAGACCACCGAAAAUUUCCAAAACUGCCAGAGCAUGACCGUGCUACCUCAGCCAAAUAUGUCCGGACAGGCCUGACUCCACGUUGGGCUGAUCUUGAUAUCAAUCAGCAUGUCAAUAAUGUUAAAUACAUUGGCUGGAUCCUUGAGAGCGCGCCAAUCUCCAUCCUGGAGAACCAUGAACUGGCGAGCAUAGUCCUAGACUACAAAAGGGAGUGUGGCCGGAACAGUGUCCUGCAGUCGCACACCACGGUGCACACCGACUGCGCCGACGAGCCCGGAGAAACGACUCUGCACUGCGAGCAUCUGCUGAGCCUGGAAUCGGGACCCACCAUCGUGAAGGCCCGGACCAUGUGGCGGCCAAAGGGAGCCAAGUCCCAGGAAACGGUGGCUCUAUCCUGGUGAUUUUCGGCAGGAACGGUUUGGUAAAAGCCCGGAGCAGCCACCCCCGUACGCGUUCUCUACCGGAAAGGUAAUCACACGUUGCACAUACGUACAUGGAUGUGUAUAAUAUAAUCCCAUCAUGGCAUCACAAACGGGAUACCCAAAUUAUAUACAGUACGUACACAGAGAGUGUGUGAAGGUGGAGGGGAUAAGAAGGGUAUAGGAGAGCGAUGAGAAGCAGAGGAGACAAAUUGGUGUUGUAAUUAUCGAGUUUGUAGCUAUAUUACGGUGUGAUGGGAAGUGAACUCUUCCCACACACACCUGGGGUCUGUCUGUCUGUCUGUCUGGGGCUGUGUCUAUAUUACGAGCCCUUGAGAGCGGCCUGUUCUAUACUUACUGAACUUUAAGAUCGUAUAUUGUAUUGAUUUUAUUAUAUAUGCGAGAAUCGCUUCUUCUUGUCCUGGUUGGUUGUUUGCCGAAACGUGCUGAAACUUGAGAUCUGGGGCUCGAGCUGUCCGACCUUGUUUUUGCUGAGCUUCUGAGCUGUCCAGCGUUGAGAUGGCGCGGCUGCUAAAUGCUUUCAAGAGUUGCCUUGACCUGCCUGCGUAGUUGGAGCAGGCAAGGCAGGCAGCUUGACGUGAGCAAUGACGGGU